AGGAACAACUGCCUGUGAGCCUUGAACAAGCUACUUCCAUUUUCUGGCUCUUUAGUCUCCUCAUUUGUAAAAUGAGGGGGCUGGAGUAAGUAAGCUCUAUAAGGCUCUCAGCUGUGACAUCUAUGCAUAAUCACAGAAGAUCGAAGUGUACAGAACACCAUGGAAACUGAAGAGAGAUUCUGAAAGGAGGCUUUAAGAGGUCACUUGCAUCCAAUGCUGCAGAAGUGUCAGAGACUGAGGACUUAAAUGAAGCCACUGAUUAGCAAUUUAAAGAUCCUCUCCAAGGUAAGGACCCCUCCCUCUCAAGCCACUACUUUUCUAUGACCUUUCUCCUACCAUCUCUAAAUGUGAACAUUCUGUAAAAUUCCGUUCUCUGGCUGGGCGCCGUGGCUCACGCCUGUAAUCCUAGCAGUUUGGGAGGCCGAGGCGAGCGGAGCACCUGAGGUCGGGAGUUUAAGAUCAGCCUGACCAACAUGGAGAAACCCCAUCUCCACUAAAAAUACAAAAUUAGCCGGGCGUGGUGGCGCAUGCCUGCAAUUCCAGCUACUUGGGAGGCUGAGGCAGGAGAACCACUUGAACCGGGGAGGUGGAGGUUGCUGUGAGCUGAGAUCGUACCAUUGCACUCCAGCCUGGGCAACAAGAGCAAAACUCUGUCUCAAAAAAAAAAAAAUUUCGUUCUCUGCCCUCCAGGGAGACUUAGCCACACUCCCAUAGCAACUGUUAUCUCUACAAGGUAGAUCAGAAAUCUCUGGUUCAUACCUUCCUUUCGCACCUCAAUUCACAUUUCCAACUGUCUAUUGGACAUUUCCACCAGUCACUGAAAUUUAGCUUGCAGUAAAAUUAAUAAUACUAAUGAUAAUAGCAUUAUUUAAAUUUAAAUAGUAUUAAAUUAAAUAGUAUUAUUUAAAUUAUUAAAUUUAGCUUGCAGUAAAAUUAAUAAUACUAAUGAUAAUAGCUAACACUCAGUACUUAAUUUUGGGUCCUGUACUAAGCAUAUCACAUAUGUUAUCUCCUUUACAUCCUAUAACAAUCCUACAAGGUAGGUAUUUUAUUAUCCCCACUUUGUCGAUGAGGAAGCUGAGGGUCAGAGAUUUUUUCUUUUUUUGAAACAGAGUCUUGCUCUGUUGCCCAGGCUGGAAUGCAGUGGCGUAAGCUUGGCUCACUGCAACCUCCAUCUCCUGGACUCAAGUGAUCCACCCAUCUUAGCCUUCUGAGUAGCUGGGACUACAGGUGCCUGCCACCAUGCAUGGCUAAUUUUUCUAUUGUUUGUAGAGACAGGGUUUCACCAUGUUGCCUAUAGCUGGUCUCGAACUCCUGGGCUCAAAUGAUCCACCCACCUCGGCCUCCCAGAAUGCUGGGAGUACAGGCAUGAGCCACAGCACCCAGCCCAGAGAUGUUAAAUAAUGUCUAAGGUCACAUAACUGGGGUGUCACGUAGUCAAGAUUCUUCCUGAUUCCACAGCCUGAGAGCUUAAUAGCUUCACUAUAAUCGAUCUAAAAAUCAAGUCAUUAUAUUUAUUUCCCAAAUCAGAUCACCUCCCUUACUUCUCUAUUUCUACUUCUACUUCACUCUCCCCCAGUAUCUUUUCAUUGGCUUAGAACAGGCCCUCAUCCCCUCCUGCUCAGACAAUUAUGAAAGUGUCUCAAAUGGUCUCCCCACUUGCAGUUUUACCCUUCCAAUUCCGGACAUGUGAUCAAUCCGGCUUAAAAAAACCUCUGAAGGCUCCCAUUAUCUAGAUUACAGAAUAAAGUCCAAACUCCUGAACAUGGCUAAAGGAGUCCCUUCACAGUCUAGCCCCUAGCAGCCUGCAGUUUAGCUGCACUGAACUGUUAGUCAUCCCCAACCAUGUCACAGACAUUUACAUCUGAAUGCCUUUCCUCAUGUGUCCCUCUACCUGGAGUGCCCUCCCCACUCUUCACUGGGAUAACUUCUACUCAUCUUUCAAAUCCCAACGUCAUCUUCUCUGUGAAGAUUUCUCAGAUUCCCAACCCCUUCUUCUGAUAGAAAUUAUGUUCCCUUCUUGUGCUCCUGGAUCUCGAUGUCUGUCUCUUACUACACUAUGAGACCUUGGGGGUGAUGACCACAUCCUGUUCUUUUUUUUUCUUUUUUUCUUUUUUUUUUUUGAGACAGAGAAUGAGAUAUGACCAAACAGUUUUAAGGAGCUAAGGUUGACUUUAGGUACCAAAUGCUAACAAAGCCCUCAUGAGAAAACUGGCCUGGUACCUGGCUUACAGGGAUCCCAGCCUUAUUAUUGUUUACAAAACAAGCCUAGUCUCAUUAGAGUCAGUAUUAUUGCCUGGGUGGGUGCAGUGGCUCAUGCCUGUAAUCCCAGCACUUUGGGAGGCUGAGGCAGGCGGAUUACUUGCCCAGGUAAGUCACAAGGUCACUUCUUGGCAGAAACCUUAAGAUAUUUAUGGGACUUUGAGAAGAGAGGAAUUCACCCAGAUUUAUAGAUACCACAGGUGAAAUCUGGUCACA
rnacentral:lncRNA from 10 species